rnacentral:rRNA from 2 species
ACAUGCAGUCGAGCGGACUUUUAAAAGCUUGCUUUUAAAAGUUAGCGGCGGACGGGUGAGUAACACGUGGGUAACCUGCCUGUAAGACUGGGAUAACUCCGGGAAACCGGGGCUAAUACCGGAUAACUUCUUUCCUCGCAUGAGGAAAGAUUGAAAGAUGGCUUUUCGCUAUCACUUACAGAUGGACCCGCGGCGCAUUAGCUAGUUGGUGAGGUAACGGCUCACCAAGGCGACGAUGCGUAGCCGACCUGAGAGGGUGAUCGGCCACACUGGGACUGAGACACGGCCCAGACUCCUACGGGAGGCAGCAGUAGGGAAUCUUCCGCAAUGGACGAAAGUCUGACGGAGCAACGCCGCGUGAGUGAUGAAGGUCUUCGGAUCGUAAAACUCUGUUGUUAGAGAAGAACAAGUACCGUUCGAAUAGGGCGGUACCUUGACGGUACCUAACCAGAAAGCCACGGCUAACUACGUGCCAGCAGCCGCGGUAAUACGUAGGUGGCAAGCGUUGUCCGGAAUUAUUGGGCGUAAAGCGCGCGCAGGCGGUUUCUUAAGUCUGAUGUGAAAGCCCACGGCUCAACCGUGGAGGGUCAUUGGAAACUGGGAGACUUGAGUGCAGAAGAGGAGAGUGGAAUUCCACGUGUAGCGGUGAAAUGCGUAGAGAUGUGGAGGAACACCAGUGGCGAAGGCGACUCUCUGGUCUGUAACUGACGCUGAGGCGCGAAAGCGUGGGGAGCGAACAGGAUUAGAUACCCUGGUAGUCCACGCCGUAAACGAUGAGUGCUAAGUGUUAGAGGGUUUCCGCCCUUUAGUGCUGCAGCUAACGCAUUAAGCACUCCGCCUGGGGAGUACGGCCGCAAGGCUGAAACUCAAAGGAAUUGACGGGGGCCCGCACAAGCGGUGGAGCAUGCGGUUUAAUUCCAAGCAACGCUAAGAACCUUACCAGGCCUUG